CGGGCCUAACACAUGCAAGUCGAACGAGAAAAUCCCUUCGGGGGUGAGUACAGUGGCGCACGGGUGAGGAACGCGUAGGUAAUCUACCCUCUGGCGGGGGACAACACUCCGAAAGGAAUGCUAAUACCGCGUAAGACCACACUCACUAAGGUGAGAGUGGUGAAAGGUGCCUCAAAGCACCACCAGAGGAUGAGCCUGCGUCCCAUCAGCUUGUUGGUAAGGUAACGGCUUACCAAGGCGAAGACGGGUAGCUGGUCUGAGAGGAUGAUCAGCCACACUGGUACUGGAACACGGACCAGACUCCUACGGGAGGCAGCAGUGAGGAAUAUUGGGCAAUGGGCGAAAGCCUGACCCAGCCACGCCGCGUGUGUGAUGAAGGCCUUCGGGUCGUAAAGCACUGUGGGGAGAGACGAAACAGCGCAGUAGGAAAUGACUGCGCCUUGACGGUACCUCCUUAGCAAGCACCGGCUAACUCUGUG
rnacentral:rRNA from 1 species